UGGGGAAUUUUGGACAAUGGGCGCAAGCCUGAUCCAGCCAUGCCGCGUGCGGGAAGAAGGCCUUCGGGUUGUAAACCGCUUUUGUCAGGGAAGAAAUCUUCUGAGUUAAUACCUCGGGAGGAUGACGGUACCUGAAGAAUAAGCACCGGCUAACUACGUGCCAGCAGCCGCGGUAAUACGUAGGGUGCAAGCGUUAAUCGGAAUUACUGGGCGUAAAGCGUGCGCAGGCGGUUUUGUAAGACAGAGGUGAAAUCCCCGGGCUCAACCUGGGAACUGCCUUUGUGACUGCAAGGCUUGAGUGCGGCAGAGGGGGAUGGAAUUCCGCGUGUAGCAGUGAAAUGCGUAGAUAUGCGGAGGAACACCGAUGGCGAAGGCAAUCCCCUGGGCCUGCACUGACGCUCAUGCACGAAAGCGUGGGGAGCAAACAGGAUUAGAUACCCUGGUAGUCCACGCCCUAAACGAUGUCAACUGGUUGUUGGGAAGGUUCCUUCUCAGUAACGUAGCUAACGCGUGAAGUUGACCGCCUGGGGAGUACGGCCGCAAGGUUGAAACUUAAAUGAAUUGACGGGGUCAU
rnacentral:rRNA from 1 species